AGACAGAGGAGGCAAGCGUUGUUCGGAAUCACUGGGCUUAAAGCGCGUGUAGGCGGCUCGGAAAGUGUCGUGUGAAAUCCCAUGGCUCAACCAUGGAAUGGCACGGCAAACUCACGGGCUUGAGGUCGGUAGAGGUGCCUGGAACUCUCGGUGGAGCGGUGAAAUGCGUAGAUAUCGAGAGGAACGCCUGAGGCGAAAGCGGGGCACUGGGCCGAUUCUGACGCUGAGACGCGAAAGCGUGGGGAGCAAACAGGAUUAGAUACCCUGGUAGUCCACGCCGUAAACGAUGCACACUAGACGUCGGAGGUUCUGACAUCGUCGGCGUCGUAGCAAAAGUGCUAAGUGUGCCGCCUGGGGAGUACGGCCGCAAGGCUAAA
rnacentral:rRNA from 1 species